UACGUAGGGGGCGAGCGUUGUCCGAAGUUACUGGGCGUAAAGCGCGCGUAGGCGGGUUGGCAAGUCUGCUGUGAAAGCCCGGGGCUUAACUCCGGAGGGUCGGUGGAUACUGCCAGUCUUGAAGGUGCUAGGGAGAGAUGGAAUUACAGGUGUAGCGGUGAAAUGCGUAGAUAUCUGUAGGAACACCAGUGGCGAAGGCGGUCUCUUGGGGCAUUCUUGACGCUGAGGCGUGAAAGCUGGGGGAGCGAACGGG
rnacentral:rRNA from 1 species